UCAACCACACACAUCUCUUCGUGCACCCAGCCCCUCCCCUUCGUGCAGAAAACAGACUAGAUAGUUGAUGUUCAUAUUUCAGAUUUCACUUUCUGGUAAGAGUCUUAGAAAAUUCAUCAAGCACGUGGAAGCACAUCACUGGUGCAGGCAGAGAAAAUUCAUCAAAGCUUAGAGGAAAUUGGGCAAACAUGCUUAUUUCCCUUCUAUUAGAAUAUAAUCAGCAAAGAAGAGAUACACAAUUGCACGUCACUUAAAGGAAAAUCAGUUGAUUGAGAUACGCACAUCUCUCUAUUCAAACUUAUAAAGAGGUAAUCUGGGUCUCUUUGGUUUGAUGGCAAAAUAACAAAAUCAGUCUUCUCUUCUUACUGCUUGUUGUGACCUUGCUGCCAUUGAUGUAAUCGGACGCGAUCUUGGAGUUUUCGGCUCUUCAAGUGGCAUGUGUUUAAAGAAGAACUCCAUUCAUUUCUCGUUACCACUCAUCACUUAUAUAUCAUCAAGCUUGCUCAUCUAUUGGACUACAUAUUCUUAGAGUGUUCUUCUCAUCAAGGUAAGUUUCUGCUUUUGUAAGUGUAUUAAUGAAUUUGAUUCUAUGAUACAUCUUGUUAGGGAAGUGUGGGAUUAGAUACAUGAUCCUCCUUGAUCACUGAGUUACUUCAUUUUCUGAAGAAAUCCUCUUAAAUAUGUGAUGGGAUCUCUUAGGAAGAUGUAUGUACACAUGCCUAUUGAGAAUUUCAUUAUUGAAUACCUGCAUCAGGAGUCAUCUGAUUAAGAGCUUCGGGAACUAAAAUUGAGAACAAUAGAAAGAUCCUCAUUGGUGUUAUACUCUUCAAUUCAUUUAGAAAUCUUUAGUCUGAGUACAUCAAAAGCAGAUACUAGUAGUAAAAUAUAGAAGAAAGAGAGAGCUUAACUAUGGCCUUAAGCUAACUGAAUUUAUUUACCAGAGAAAAAUGUGAUAUACUAACUAAAGUAGAGCAUGUUAAACUUAAACACUAAAUAGAGUUAGUUUUUCAGUUCUUUGUGCUGAACCUACCAACAAAAAAAUGUAUUUUUGAAGGGGUAAUCUUUUUUUGUUUAGUUAUUUGUUUAUGUACUGUAGCAAAUUUUUGUACUGAACAGAGCAAUUGGGUCAUACAAGUAAUUGGUUGUCAUGUAAACUUUUGCUGGGAAUUUGAAUUGAUUUGAUGAAAUUGUAGUGUCUUUAGUGGAAGACUACUGCACUAUGUUAAGAAAAGUAUAACCUGGACAACUAUUUAACUUACUACCUUAAAGAUAGAUAUGUCCAUAAAUAUGAUUUUCAGCAGCCCUUAAAUACAUUACUUUGAAUGGACACCACUAACACUAAAGAUCAGAAAAGCUGUGAUUAUGCAACUGUACAUUCUAAAGAAAGAGCUAGAUGUAGAAUUAUCAAUGCUUCAUUAUGGUGAGUAAUCUGGAAAGAGAUGAAUUCUAGGUGUUUUAAGAGCAUACAGAGAGUGUGAUAUAAUUGAUGUUUAUACUCAUAUGGACAUAGUACAAUGAAUAGAUGGAGUUCAUCUGUAAAUGAGGUAUAACAUGGAAAGCACUGCCAAAGAAUGUAUAAAACUAGAGAAUGGAAGGCACUGCCAAAGAAUGUCAAACAAAUUCCUCUUGAUCUCUCUGCUCAUGCUCGGGAGACAUCACUUAGUUUUUGUAGAGUCCAUGAGAAUUUUUAUUUUAGUGAUCUUGUAGAGAAGAGACUUCUAAGCCUUCGGCCUUCUUCUUUUUUAGUAAAUAACAGAAAUUAUUACCAAAAGUGCCAUGUACGAACAAGGAAAAAACAAGGCCUGAACAACCCCAACCUUGCUUAUGAGAGAAUCUAAACACUGAAACUAACUAUAGUUUGUAAUCUUGACAACCCAAUGCACUAGCUAGUUUUGUCUUCUUACAUCCUCUAAUUGUGGAUCUCCUAGACAAUAUUUUGUAUAGGAACACCCAGUUGGCCUUGACUUUUAUCAAAAUAUGUAUUUUGCAAGAGGAAUAUGGAAUGAUGCAGCUGCUAAAGUUUCUACUGAAGUUUGCAGUGAUAAUGAAUUAUAAGAAUCAAGCUCAAGAAUUUGAAUAUGAAGAGUCUAUCAUUGAAGAAAGUAUCGAGCAAGUUGAAGUUCAAGAGUACUUUUACUUUGAUUAGAAAUGUAGUUGAAAGACGAUAUCUUAUUAUUUAUAUAUGUUUCAUUUUUUCUCUUUUUAGGAGUUGAUAAAGAUCUGUCAUAUAACUUUUAUGUAAUAUUUUUUAAAAUUAGUUCUUUGUAUUAACAAUGAAGUUGUACAUUCAAUUACUAAGUAUAUUUUCUUG